rnacentral:rRNA from 1 species
AACGAACGCUGGCGGCGUGCUUAACACAUGCAAGUCGAACGAGACCUUCGGGUCUAGUGGCGCUCGGGUGCGUAACGCGUGGGAACCUGCCCUUAGGUUCGGAAUAACUCCCCGAAAGAGGUGCUAAUACCGGAUAAUGUCAUCGGACCAAAGAUCUAUCGCCUUGGGAUGGGCCCGCGUUGGUUUAGCUAGUUGGUAGGGUACAAGCCUACCAAGGCGACGAUCCAUGGCUGGUCUGAGAGGAGGACCAGCCACACUUGGACUGAGACACGGCCCAGACUCCGACGGGAGGCAGCAGUGGAGAAUAUUGGACAAUGGACGAAAGCCUGAUCCAGCAAUGCCGGGUGAGUGAUGAAGGCCUUAGGGUUGUAAAGCUCUUUUACCCGGGAUGAGAAUGACAGUACCGGGAGAAGAAGCUCCGGCUAACUCCGUG